GACGAACGCUGGCGGCGUGCCUAAUACAUGCCAGUAGAACGCUGAAGGAGGAGCUUGCUUCUCUGGAUGAGUUGCGAACGGGUGAGUAACGCGUAGGUAACCUGCCUUGUAGCGGGGGAUAACUAUUGGAAACGAUAGCUAAUACCGCAUAAUAGCAGUUGUUGCAUGACAACUGUUUGAAAGGUGCAAUUGCACCACUACCAGAUGGACCUGCGUUGUAUUAGCUAGUUGGUGGGGUAAAGGCUCACCAAGGCGACGAUACAUAGCCGCCCUGAGAGGGGGUGCGGCCACCCUGGGAGUGGGACAGGGCCCAGUGUCCUUCGGGAGGCAGCAGGAGGGAAUCGUCGGCAAGGGACGGAAGUCUGACCGAGAAACGCCGAGGGAGGGAAGAAGGUUUUCGGAUCGUAAAGCUCGGUUGUAAGGGAAGAAAGAGUGUGAGAGUGGAAAGUUCACACUGUGACGGUAUCUUAUCAGAAAGGGACGGCUAACUACGUG
rnacentral:rRNA from 1 species